rnacentral:rRNA from 1 species
UAGGGGUGAUAGGCCAGGCAAAAGGUGUGAUAACUUGAUUUUAAGGAAAUACUUUAAGGGUAUUAGACAGGUGGUAAAUGAUAAGGUUUAAAACACUUUUAUAAGUGUUAGGUAAUAUUUUGUUUAUUUUUUAAUUAUUUAAAUUCAUAAAACUUUAACAUUUAUAUUAUUUCACUAUAUUACUUACUUAAAUACUUGCAUAAUAGUGUUGAGUAUACAAUGUUAAUAUUAGUAAAAAUAUAAAUUUGUGAUAGGAACUCGGCAAAUUUGCCGGUCAACUGUUUAACAAAAACAUAACCGUAUGAAUUUAAUAUUCGGCUGUUUCUGCUCAAUGGUAUUAAAUAGCCGCAGUACCCUGACUGUGCAAAGGUAGCAUAAUCAUUUGGCUUUUAAUUGAAGUCUGGCAUGAAUGAAUUUAUGGCUGGCAGCUGUCUUUUACAAACGUUGUGAAUUUUCUUAAUAAGUGUAAAUACUUAUGUUAAUAUAAUAGACGAGAAGACCCUUGAAAUUUUCAUUAAAUGUGUAAUGCACUGUACGUUUUUGUUGGGGCGACAAAAUAACACAAAACUUAUUGUUAUAGAUUUGAACUAAAUACUGUGAAAAAAUAAAUUACUCUAGGGAUAACAGCAUAAUUUAAAUAAGUUUGUGACCUCGAUGUUGGAUUAGGGACAAAGUUAUUCAGAAGAUAACAUUGCAUGUUCUGUUCGAAC